UUGGGACAAUCUAAUAUUUGUACUAUGUAUGAAAAUGUGUUAGGAGCCAACUAUCUAUAACGAUUGAUACACUAGGGAUCAUCUUUCCGACCUAAGUCGCAGAUUACGACGACAGCUUCGCCUAAAAGAAUUCACGAGGUCCCACAAGCAGGAAUAAGUGCUGAUAACAGCAGWAGCAACCCAACGUCCACGUACAACCAUGUAGCCAACAACGUACAACUCAACAGCAUCGCGAACGACCAAGGACCGUUACCAGACGAGGAUAUGAUGGAAAUGAUCAGUGGGACAACAAUUAAUGAAUCYCCAAAUCCAGUACCCUCCGAUGGAAAUGACGAAGCAGCUAUGGCUGUGAUCAUGAGCCUUUUGGAAGCUGAUGCUGGUUUGGGUGGACCUGUUGAUUUCACCGGAUUACCUUGGCCUUUACCAUAAUGUGAACUACUUUAGUGAUUUUUUUUUAAUUUUAUUUUAUUACACUUUCUUUUUCCUUACCUCCAUUGAAAAUUAGUGAACACAUUUGUAUAAGAAUCUUUCGUGAAAAAGUGUAUAUACUAUAUAUGUAUAUAAAUGACACUUCCAUAUGUACCUGUAAUCGAAAUUUUGACAAGAACAUUUUUUUAAACACUCAAACAUAUACAUAUAUAUAUACAGAUGAAUUAUUCAAUGAAACUUCCAAGUAUUUCUAUUAAAUGGUACACAUAGGUUAGUAAAAACUUGAUAAUGCUUGUUCUUUUGACGUAUAGAAUUUAUAUAUGGUGCUAAAGUUGUGUUAUGUGGAAUAUAAAUCAGUKAAUCAUAUGUGACAUUUGAUUGUCGACGUUUUAUGAACAUGUUCCUUAGCAUUAAUUGUUAUGUUACAAACAAACAAAAAACAGAAUAACACRAUAGAGUAUUUUGACAUUUUAUGUGCUUAAAAUUAAAUAAUACUACAUGGUAAAAAAAUGAGAAUAAAUCUAUCAUUCAUAAUGUUUAGAAAGAAAAUAGACUUUUGUGUGUAAGACCAAAAUUUGAUGUCUGUCAAAUUAGGUUAAUAGAAAAUAAUUUAUUUAAUAUUAAAUAUGCGAUAUUGUGAAAAAAUAUCCUAUAAGGAAAAAUGUUGAUGAUGAUGAUGAUGAUGAU